rnacentral:rRNA from 1 species
CGUGGGGGACGAAGGUCUUCGGGUUGUAAACCUCUUUUAGUAGGGAAGAAGCGAAAGUGACGGUACCUGCAGAAAAAGCACCGGCUAACUACGUGCCAGCAGCCGCGGUAAUACGUAGGGUGCAAGCGUUGUCCGGAAUUAUUGGGCGUAAAGAGCUCGUAGGCGGUUUGUCGCGUCUGCUGUGAAAACCCGAGGCUCAACCUCGGGCCUGCAGUGGGUACGGGCAGACUAGAGUGCGGUAGGGGAGAUUGGAAUUCCUGGUGUAGCGGUGGAAUGCGCAGAUAUCAGGAGGAACACCGAUGGCGAAGGCAGAUCUCUGGGCCGUAACUGACGCUGAGGAGCGAAAGCGUGGGGAGCGAACAGGAUUAGAUACCCUGGUAGUCCACGCCGUAAACGUUGGGAACUAGAUGUGGGGGCCAUUCCACGGCUUCCGUGUCGCAGCUAACGCAUUAAGUUCCCCGCCUGGGGAGUACGGCCGCAAGGCUAAAACUCAAAGGAAUUGACGGGGGCCCGCACAAGCGGCGGAGCAUGCGGAUUAAUUCGAUGCAACGCGAAGAACCUUACCAAGGCUUGACAUAUACAGGAAAUGGCUGGAAACAGUCCCCCCGCAAGGUCUGUAUACAGGUGGUGCAUGGUUGUCGUCAGCUCGUGUCGUGAGAUGUUGGGUUAAGUCCCGCAACGAGCGCAACCCUCGUCUUAUGUUGCCAGCACGUAAUGGUGGGAACUCAUGGGAGACUGCCGGGGUCAACUCGGAGGAAGGUGGGGAUGACGUCAAAUCAUCAUGCCCCUUAUGUCUUGGGCUUCACGCAUGCUACAAUGGCCGGUACAAAGGGCUGCAAUACCGCAAGGUGGAGCGAAUCCCAAAAAGCCGGUCUCAGUUCGGAUUGGGGUCUGCAACUCGACCCCAUGAAGUUGGAGUCGCUAGUAAUCGUGGAUCAGCAACGCCACGGUGAAUACGUUCCCGGUCCUUGUACACGCCGCCCGUCAAGUCAUGAAAGUCGGUAACACCCGAAGCCAGUGGCCCAACCGCAAGGAGGGAGCUGUCGAAGGUGGGAUUGGUGAUUAGGACU